GCUGGGAUGGGAUAGAUCAGUCGGUAGAGCAUGAGACUGUUUGUCUCGGGGGUCAUGGGUUCGAGUCCCACGUCGAGCA